CAUUUCUCAGAGCAUACUGGGAUAUUUCACUUUGGAAUUGCUCUCCAAGGGGGUGGCAGAGACAACUUUUAAAACCCAUUUUUAAAACUUAUUAAAAUUCAACAUAUAGCAAAUAUAUAAAGACUAUUAAAGUGAACAUGCAUGUACCAAUCACAAAGCUUUAAAAAGUUGACUACCAAUGCUAUGGAGAUUAUUUGCACCUCUCCUUAAUCAUGUCCACCUCUGUUGACUCCUCUGUCCUUAACCUCAGUGUUUUCCUGCAUUUAAUCAAUAUAUAUUUAUAUUUAUGCUUUCCUACACACAUAUGUUGUUCUAAGUAAUAGUUGGUGCUGUUUUUUUUCAGGUUUAAAUAUUUCCAUAGACAGUAUCACACUAUACGUAUUCUUUAGUAACUUUCUAUUUUCACUCAAUAUUUUGUUAGAUUUAUCCAUAGUUCAUCCGUAUUCUUUUUUUUAAGAUUCCACAUAUAAGUGAUAUCAUAUGAUGUUUGCUUUUAUUGUCCGACUGAUUUCAUUUACUGUGAUAGUUUCUAGUUCUACCCAUGGUUGCUGCAAAUGACAUUAUUUCAUUCUCUUUUGUGGCUGAGUAAUAUUCCAUUGUGUCUAUGUACCACAGACUAGCAGACUUUGAACUCAAACUUAUGGUUGCCAAAGGGGACAGUUGGGGAGGGGCACAGACUAGGGUUAAAGGGUUGACAUAUGUACACUGACACAUGUGCAAUGACUGCCCAACAGGUACCCACUGCAUAGCUCUGGGAACUCUACCCGAUAUUCUGUGAUAAUCUAUGUGGGAAAAUAAUUUGAAAAAGAUGGAGUUCCCCUUGUGGUGCAAUGGAAACGAAUCCAAUUAGGAACAAUGAAGUUGUGGGUUCAAUUCCUGGCCUCACUCAGUGGGUUAAGGAUCGGGCGUUGCUGUGAGCUGUGGUAGAUUGCAGACACAGCUUGGAUCUGGCAUUGCUAUGGCUCUGGUGUAGGCCGGCAACAACAGCUCUGAUUAGAACCCUGGCCUGGGAACCUCCAUGUGCCACGGAUGUGGCCCUGAAAAAAAAAAAAAAGACAAAAAAAAAAGAAUGUAUGUGUGUACAUGUGUAACUGAGUCACUUUGUUGUACAGCAGAAAUUAUCACAGCACCAUAAAUCAACUAUACUUCAGUAAAACUUUAAAAAUGAAAAAAAGUUUAAUAGAUAAUAUAUAUAUUUAUCCUUUGAUGAGUACGUGCCCAACAUUCUAAUCUAUUUAAAAUAAAUUGGGUUUUAUAAUGAUUCUAAAAUAAAUAUGCCUCAAUUAUUUAUCCUAUUUCCUACUGAAGUACAUUUAAGUGAUAGCCAAUAUUUUGCGACCAUAAAUUAGUACUUUACCAAUAAAUAUUGUUGUGUCUAUCUCCUUUGUGAACAUAUCAAGAGAUGUCUCCACAGUAUACACCCAGGAGUGGAAUUUCCAUAUUGUGGCAAGUGGACAUUUUCACCUUUAUUAUUUAUUACUAAAUUUUCUCUGAAGUAUUUGCACCAACUUUCAUUCUAUCCAUCUGGGUGAAAAAUUCUCUUUUUCCCACAACCACCCCAAACUUGCUAUUGCUACACAUUUUAACUUUUGCCAGCUACCAAUGUGAUUUUUAAAAAUCAAAGUUAAUAAUCAUUGAGUAUCUACUCUGAAUAUACCUCUGUGCUUAGUUCUUUAUGGAAGAUAAAGUAAGAUGUAAUGGAACUGGAGGAAUCUAAUAUCCUGCCCACAAUCCCACCACUUGUGAAAACCGCUGCAAGUCCCUUAACCCCCUCAGGCCUCUGCUUCUUCAUCUAUUAUAUUAAGGGCUAGAUAAGAACAUUUCUCAGGCCCCUUUCACCUCUGAUCUUGAAUCUAUGAUGCUCCACAGGAGCUUACAAAUCUAUAGGAGAACUAGCAUAUAACUUAACACCAGCAAAAUAUACAGAUAAGGGAUAAGGAGAGCAGAGAGGAUGGGAUCCAGGCAGGAAAGAAGGAGGGACUGGAGCUUUUUAUUUAGAAGGUUUGUGAGUUCCCAUUGUGGCGCAGCGGAAAUGAAUCCGACUGGGAACCAUGGGAUUUCGGGUUCGAUCCCUGGCUUCGCUCAGUGGGUUAAGGAUCCAGCGUUGCCCUGAGCUGUGUUGUAGGAUGCAGACACAGCUCAGAUCCUGCACUGCUGUGGCUCUGGUGUAGGCCAGUGGCUACAGCUCUGAUUAGACCCCGGCCUGGGAACUUCCAUAUGCGGCAGGUGUGGCCCUACAAAGACAAAAAAAAAAAAAAAAAAAGUUUUGGAUGAGCUGCUUCCAGGAAAGUAUGGAUGACACUCUCCAGAAUGAAUGGAGGAAAGGAAAUUCAGAGACAGGAAAGAGCCCGGUGGAGUCCUAAAAACAGGAGAGAGAAGGGGAGGUGGUGUGGCUAUAGCACAAGGUGUGAGGUACAUGCUGGGGGAAGGGGAAUGAAGCCAGGUACAUGACAUUUUUAUUAUGCCAUAUUAUAAUAAAUCCUCAUGAUUUUGUUGAUUUUAUUUUUCAAAUGCCCCAAAGCAAUUAGGAAUCAAAUCUGUAACUAAGGCAGAUGGUCAGUUUAAUUUCACUUUAAAGUGAGAUCAUAAAACUAAUUUCCGUGGGGCUCAUAGACUGACUGGAUAGACACUUAUCAAACAAGAUUGCUCGGGGGGUUGGAAAAUGGAAAGAAGCAUAAAUAAAGUGAAUCUUUGACAAAGGAGAAAAGAAUAUACAACAGGGAAAAGAGUCUUUUCAGCGAGUGAUGUUGGGAAAGUUGGACGGCUGCGUAUAAUCAGUGAAGUUAGAACAUACUCUCACACCAUAUACAAAAAUAAGCUCAACAGGGUUUAAAGACUUAAAUAUAAGACAUGGCAUAAUAAAACUCCUAGAGAAGAACAUAGGCAAAACAUUCUCUGAUAUAAAUCAUACCAAGGCAAUAGAAAUAAAAGCAAAAAAUAAACAAUUGGGACCUAAUCA
rnacentral:lncRNA from 1 species